GGGGAGUGCGGGGGGCGGGUUCUAGGGAGGGGGUGAGAAAGCCCGCCCGGGUCUCUGGGAUCUAUUUCUCUCUGUCUCUCGAGGGUGUGUGUAGUCCCCUCGAAGUGAAGGAAUUUUGCUAUAAAGCGAGCUGAGACGGAAGACUAGGCUAAGUUACCUCCCUAUGUAGAUGGUGUCAGGGAGUGAAGCUACUGAACGAGCCACUGCUCUAUCCGGUGGUUUGGUUUUUUUUUGCCCAAGGAGGCCAGAGCUCACUUUGUCACUUGGCUUUGUGGUGAACAACGCCUAUAAAGCUAGCUGAAUAAGACACAGAAGAUCCACCAUUUUGCUAAAGCUGCUAUCCCGAUUCACUCUUGUCCUUCGUGUCCUGCCUCCACUACUCGAGACCAAAAGGUUUCCCCAUGAUCCAUUCACUCACACUCAGCUUGGGGAACAGAUAACUUUUCAUGUCAACUCAAUCAGGUAAUACAAAAGGAAUAACAUACAGGGAAGAAUGGGAAAAGGAAAGUGGGGAAAAGGGGGUCCCUGUCUCUAACUAAACCCUUUUCCUCCCUCCUCAAGUUUGGGGGGAAUUCAGGCCUUGGCAGCCUGAGCCCCCUGAGAGAAAGUCAGAUUGACUCACCCCUGGGCAAGAGGAGCUAAGGUAAAGUCUGUUCAGGUUUCUCUUCAGAAGUCCCUUCAAUUGGGAAGUGUUGGGGGGAAGGAUUUCCAGUCACCAGCAAAAAAAAAAAAAGUGGAUAACCCUCAGGAGAAAGUCUUAAUCCACCUCUCCUGACUGAGAGACCAACUGCUCUCCCCCUGUCAGAGUCUUUUCCUCCUCUCAAGAUUCCAAACUCCUCGGGCUCCUCCCCCAUCUAGGUGAUGGGUUUCAUACACUCUUCAGUCUGGCACUUUUUUUUUCCUCUAGAGCCAGCCUCUGUCACACUGUCUUCUCCUAGCCAUGAAUCCUUGAUCUCUUUCCACUGAUUCUUUUUCCUGCCUGGAAU
rnacentral:lncRNA from 1 species